UGCCAGCCGCCGCGGUAAUACAGAGGAUGCGAGCGUUAUUCGGAAUCACUGGGCGUAAAGCGCGUGUAGGCGGCGUCGUCAGUCGGAUGUGAAAUCCCCGGGCUCAACCUGGGAACUGCAUCCGAUACUGCGGUGCUUGAGUUUCGGAGGGGGUGGCGGAAUUCCCGGUGUAGAGGUGAAAUUCGUAGAUAUCGGGAGGAACACCUGUGGCGAAGGCGGCCACCUGGACGAAUACUGACACUGAGGUGCGAAAGCGUGGGGAGCAAACAGGAUUAGAUA
rnacentral:rRNA from 1 species